ACUACUUUCUUCUCACUAAAAUUUGCAACAUUUUCAUAUACAUUAAGGAGCGUGUUUCUCUCCCACUUGAAAUCCACUCCAGAUAGGCUGCAGAUUCCGUCUAUAACUUGUUUGCUCAGUAUGUGUCAAGCAUUGGAUGGAUCCUGAGGUAUGGGAAAGAGUAUAUUAAUGGUGUUCAAAGUUUGUUGGACUUUGUUUACACUGUUGGGGAUCCUCAAAGCCAUGAAAUCCAAUGUCCUUGUGAAAAGUGUUGUAAUAUUCCUUGGCAUCAAAGGGAUGUAAUAUAUGAUCAUCAAUAUACUACAGAUUUAUUGAAGGUUAUACAAGAUGGAUUAAUCAUGGGGAAUGGGAUAUUGUGAUGAAGGUUGGCACUGAGACAGAUUAUAAGGUUGACUCAAAUGUCUACACUGAUAGUAAAUUAGUGACAACAAGUUAUCUAAAACUUGAUGAAGAUAUCAGCAAAUUCAAAUGACACUAUGCUGAGGAUGUUGCUUCUGUAAAAAGUGGCUUAAAAAAAUUAAAGAAAAGAUGUAUGAGAAUUACGUCAUUUGGUGACUGUAUUGAUGCAAAACAACCCUAUAUUGGAUGUUCAGGACGUAGCAGAGUAUGUCGGAUCCAACACACUUUCUGUCGCUGAUGCAAAUAGUGUAGAAUAUGGGAGGGGCCAAAAUCUUUCACAUUCCUGUGAAUUAACUCAUUAUCCAUGAAAAGCAAAUUAACUAAUGUAGCUACCAACUGGCCGAAUAGAAGUGUCCAAAGUACUCUCAUUAACUUUCAAUUGAUAGGACUUGGAAGACUAGUCUGGUUGCGCAUCAGCUAUGAUAGAAAAAUUCCAUGAAGGACCAAGAAAUUUGUGAGAUUUGAUGUAAGUUUUCAGAAAGCUAAGGCUGUUAUUAUUGUACUUUCACAUCCUUUAUCUUGAAAUGCAUAAGAGGAAAGAGUUAUGAUGGGUCACCUAUACUUGUUAGUGCCAUUGAGGGUGGACAAACAUUUGACUUUUUUAUGUGCACCUCUCUGUUUUUGAGGCACUAAAAUCCUAAUGACUCUUUGUAGUGGAUUGUGGACAAAUUCCAUUGAUGUUUAUGUACUUGUUUACUAAUCCAUAUGAUAGUGAGAAGUUGUCAAGAGAUUUUCUGGUCUAAAACUCAUUUAAUAUAUCAAAUUGAUGAGUUGAUAAGGAGUGUAACACAUACUGAAAAAUCUUGCAUCAUUCCAAUUGUUCAGGAAUAUCCUCACAUGUUAUUUUACUUCCGUUAUAUUUUGGUCCCUCUAACAGGGAUACUUUCUUUGAUAACCAAUAGUUUCAAGGCGUGUUGUGGACCAAGUUUUAUAGAGAUAUGCAAUCAAUGGUUCCUCUAGGCAUAGAUCAUCCGGAUGCAACCGCAUAAUGAUAUGAAAAUAGUGAAUUUUGUUCCAUUUUCUUCUUUUUUGUAUUUUUG